GGUGACCUGCGGAAUGAUCAUUACCGAGUGCGGGCCCCUCGGGGCCCAACCUCCCACCCGUGUUGCCCGAACCUAUGUUGCCUCGGCGGGCCCCGCGCCCGCCGACGGCCCCCCUGAACGCUGUCUGAAGUUGCAGUCUGAGACCUAUAACGAAAUUAGUUAAAACUUUCAACAACGGAUCUCUUGGUUCCGGCAUCGAUGAAGAACGCAGCGAAAUGCGAUAACUAAUGUGAAUUGCAGAAUUCAGUGAAUCAUCGAGUCUUUGAACGCACAUUGCGCCCUCUGGUAUUCCGGAGGGCAUGCCUGUCCGAGCGUCAUUGCUGCCCUCAAGCCCGGCUUGUGUGUUGGGCCCCGUCCCCCCCGCCGGGGGGACGGGCCCGAAAGGCAGCGGCGGCACCGCGUCCGGUCCUCGAGCGUAUGGGGCUUCGUCACCCGCUCUAGUAGGCCCGGCCGGCGCCAGCCGACCCCCAACCUUUAAUUAUCUCAGGUUGACCUCGGAUCAGGUAGGGAUACCCGCUGAACUUAAGCAUAUCAAUAAGCGGAGGAA
rnacentral:rRNA from 1 species